rnacentral:rRNA from 1 species
UACGUAGGGGGCAAGCGUUAUCCGGAUUUACUGGGUGUAAAGGGAGCGUAGGUGGCAAGGCAAGUCAGAUGUGAAAACCCGGGGCCCAACCCCGGGAGUGCAUUUGAAACUGUCUGGCUAGAGUGCAGGAGAGGUAAGUGGAAUUCCUAGUGUAGCGGUGAAAUGCAUAGAUAUUAGGAGGAACACCAGUGGCGAAGGCGGCUUACUGGACGGCAACUGACGCUCAGGCACGAAAGUGUGGGUAUCGAACAGG